rnacentral:rRNA from 1 species
AGCAGGCGCGCUACCUGCAGUCGGACGGUAGCACAGAGGAGCUUGCUCCUCGGGUGACGAGUGGCGGACGGGUGAGUAGUGUCUGGGGAUCUGCCCGAUAGAGGGGGAUAACCACUGGAAACGGUGGCUAAUACCGCAUAACGUCGCAAGACCAAAGAGGGGGACCUUCGGGCCUCUCACUAUCGGAUGAACCCAGAUGGGAUUAGCUAGUAGGCGGGGUAACGGCCCACCUAGGCGACGAUCCCUAGCUGGUCUGAGAGGAUGACCAGCCACACUGGAACUGACACACGGUCCAGACUCCUACGGGAGGCAGCAGUGGGGAAUAUUGCACAGUGGGCGCAAGCCUGAUGCACCCGUGCCGCGUGUAUGAAGAAGGCCUUCGGGUUGUAAAGUACUUUCAGCGGGGAGGAAGGCGAUGUGGUUAAUAACCGUGUCGAUUGACGUUACCCGCAGAAGAAGCACCGGCUAACUCCGUGCCAGCAGCCGCGGUAAUACAGAGGGUGCAAGCGUUAAUCGGAAUUACUGGGCGUAAAGCGCACGCACGCGGUCUGUUAAGUCAGAUGUGAAAUCCCCGGUCUUAACCUGAGAACUGCAUUUGACACUGGCAGGCUUGAGUCUCGUAGAGGGGGGUAGAAUUCCGGGUGUAGCGGUGAAAUGCGUAGAGAUCUGGAAGAAUACCGGUGGCGAACGCGGCCCCCUGGACGAAGACUGACGCUCAUGUGCGAAAGCGUGGAGAGCACACAGGAUUAUAUACCCUGGUAGUCCACGCCGUACACGAUGUCGACUUGGAUGGUGUUCCCUUGAAGAGUGUCUUCCGGAGCUAACGCGUUACUCCACCGCCGGGGAGUACGGCCGCAGGUUAAACUCAAUGAUUGACGGGGCCCGCACAGCGGGGAUGUGUGUUUUAUUCGUGCACGCGAAAUCUUACCUACUCUUGACUCCAGAAAUUCGCAGAGUGCUUAGUGCUUCGGAACGUGAACAGUGCUGCUGCUGUCUCUCUCGUGUGGAAUGUGGUAGUCCCGCACGAGCGCACCCUAUCUUUGUGCGCGUUCGGCGGACUCAAGAACGCGUGAUACCGGAGAGGGGGAUGACUCAGUCAUCUGCCUUAGAUAGGCUACCACGUGCUACAUGGCCAUCAAGAGAGCGACCUCGAGGACAGCGACCUAAAGUGCGUGAUCGGAUCGGAUCUGCACUUCACUCGGAUCGGAUCCUUGAAUCGGAUCAAUGCCCGGAUACUUUCCCGCCUUGACACCCCCCGCACACUGGGAGGGUUGCAAAAGUAGGAGCUUACCUCGAGGC